CACGCCACUUCCGCUCCCACUUUUGUCGAUUUUCGCAGUAUGAUCGGAGCGUAUAUAAGACACCGGAGAUCUCGAUUCUGACAUAACACAUCUUUUUGUGCAAAUCUAUUCUUUGUUCUCUACUUAAAUCCUCAAAAACCAACCAAAAACUAAAAAUGGGCGCUGAAAAGGUAUCCAUGAACAUCGUCGUCGUCGGACAAGUCCAGUCUGCCAAGGCCAUCAAGACCGUCACCAAGGCCACCCCAGCCACCAGCCAAUUGAUGAAUUGUUAAUUCAUGUAAUCCAUUGAUCUCAAACUCAAAAAUGCCAUAGUCUAAACAAUACGCAAAUUAUAAUAUGUAAGAAAUAUAUAAUUUAUAAUGAACGUAUUGACAUCACAAAAUAAACCAUGAAUUUUUAUAUUUAA